CCUGGGAUAGCUCAUUCAGUAAAGCAUGAGACUCUCCAUCUCAGGGCCAUGGGUUUGAGUCCCACAUUCAGUGA